rnacentral:rRNA from 1 species
UACGGAAGGUGCAAGCGUUAGUCGGAAUUAUUGGGCGUAAAGGGUGCGUAGGCGGAAAAAAAAGUCGGACGUGAAAUUCUGAGGCUUAACCUCAGAGCUGCAUCCGAAACUGCUUUUCUCGAGGAAUGGCGGAGAAGACGGAAUUCCAUGUGUAGCGGUGAAAUGCGUAGAUAUAUGGAAGAACACCUGUGGCGAAAGCGGUCUUCUAGCCUCAUCCUGACGCUGAGGCACGAAAGCAAGGGGAGCAAACAGG